rnacentral:rRNA from 1 species
CCGGAGGCCAUUGCUAUCAGGGUUUGACUAAGCCAUGCGAGUCGAGAGGUGUAAGACCUCGGCAUACUGCUCAGUAACACGUGGUUAACCUGCCCUAAGGUGGAGAAUACUCCCGGGAAACUGGGGCUAAUGCUCCAUAGUGGAUAUGUCCUGGAAUGGUAUAUCCUCGAAAGAUCCGUCGCCUUAGGAUGGGACUGCGUCCGAUUAGGUUGUUGGCGGGGUAACGGCCCACCAAGCCUUUUAUCGGUACGGGUUGUGGGAGCAAGAUCCCGGAGAUGGAUUCUGAGACAUGAAUCCAGGCCCUACGGGGCGCAGCAGGCGCGCAAACUUUACAAUGCGAGCAAUCGUGAUAAGGAAACCCUGAGUGCCUGUCGAUGCAGGCUGUUCAUAUAUCUAAAUCAUAUGUGAAGAAAGGGCAGGGCAAGACCGGUGCCAGCCGCCGCGGUAAUACCGGCUGCUCGAGUGAUGGCCACUAUUACUGGGUUUAAAGCGUCCGUAGCUUGACUGUUAGGUCUCUUGGGAAAUCUUCGCGCUCAACGUGAAGGCGUCUAAGAGAUACCGGCAGUCUUGGAACUGGGAGAGGUAAACCGUACUUCGGGGGUAGGAGU